GACGAACGCUGGCGGCGUGCUUAACACAUGCAAGUCGAACGAUGAACCCGGAGCUUGCUCCGGUGGAUUAGUGGCGAACGGGUGAGUAACACGUGAGUAACCUGCCCUUGACUCUGGGAUAACUGCGGGAAACUGUAGCUAAUACCGGAUACGACCCUCGGCGGCAUCGCCAGGGGGUGGAAAGAAUUUCGGUCAAGGAUGGACUCGCGGCCUAUCAGGUAGUUGGUGAGGUAACGGCCCACCAAGGCGAGGACGGGUAGCCGGCCGGGGGGGUGGACCGGCCACACGGGGACUGAGACACGGCCCAGACUCCUACGGGAGGCAGCAGGGGGGAAUAUUGCAAAAGGGGCGCAAGCCUGAUGCAGAAACGCCGGGUGAGGGAUGACGGCCUUGGGGUUGUAACCCUCUUUUAGUAGGGAAGAAGCGAAAGUGACGGUACCUGCAGAAAAAGCACCGGCUAACUACGUGCCAGCCGCCGCGGUAA
rnacentral:rRNA from 1 species